rnacentral:ribozyme from 1 species
UAUCCAUGAUCAAGGAACGGAAUUCACUGGACUGGCUCUCCGUCAGCCUCCUGACAAUGUUGCUACUGCAGUCUGACUCAUAUUUGGCCGCAGCAAGCCGUGCUCUC